rnacentral:rRNA from 1 species
GACGAACGCUGGCGGCGUGCUUAACACAUGCAAGUCGAGCGGAGCGGCGAACGGGUGAGUAACGCGUGAGUAACUGCCCCCCUCUCUGGGAUUAAAGUUGGAAACGGCUGCUAAUACCGGAUUGUGGGGGAUGACUCGCGUCCUAUCAGCUUGUUGGUGGGGUAGUGGCCUACCAAGGCGACGACGGGUAGCCGGCCUGAGAGGGGGACCGGCCUCAUGGGGCUGAGAGACGGCCCAGACUCCUACGGGGGGCAGCGGGUGGGAAUAUUGCACAGUGGGGGAAACCCUGAGGCGGCAACGCCGCGUGCGGGAUGACGGCCUUCUGGUUGGGAACCGCUUUCAGCCAUGACGCGGUAGUGGCAGAAGAAGCACCGGCUAACUACGUGCCAGCAGCCGCGGUAAUAC